UACCGGAGUUGGGUUCGAACCACGAACCUAGAGCUAAGUAAGCUCUUGCCUUACCCACUGGGCUGGC
rnacentral:tRNA from 11 species